rnacentral:rRNA from 1 species
UACGGGGGGGGCAAGCGUUGUUCGGAAUUACUGGGCGUAAAGGGUUCGUAGGCGGCCUUCUAAGUCAGACGUGAAAUCCCCCGGCUUAACCUGGGAACUGCGUCUGAUACUGGGAGGCUAGAGUAUGGGAGAGGGAUGUAGAAUUCCUGGUGUAGCGGUGGAAUGCGCAGAUAUCAGGAGGAACACCGGUGGCGAAGGCGGGUCUCUGGGCAGUAACUGACGCUGAGGAGCGAAAGCGUGGGGAGCGAACAGG